rnacentral:rRNA from 1 species
GUGUCAGCCGCCGCGGUAAUACGGAGGGUCCGAGCGUUAUCCGGAAUCAUUGGGUUUAAAGGGUCCGUAGGCGGGCCUGUAAGUCAGGGGUGAAAGUUUGUGGCUCAACCAUAAAAUUGCCUUUGAUACUGCAGGUCUUGAGUCAUGGUGGGGUUGCCGGAACAUGUGGUGUAGCGGUGAAAUGCAUAGAUAUCACAUAGAACACCGAUCGCGAAGGCAGGUGACCAACCAUGUACUGACGCUGAUGGACGAAAGCGUGGGUAGCGAACGGGAUUAGAUACCCCGGUAGUCCACGCCGUAAACGAUGGAUACUAGCUGUGGGGACUUCGGUCUCCGUGGCCAAGCGAAAGUGAUAAGUAUCCCACCUGGGGAGUACGUUCGCAAGAAUGAAACUCAAAUGAAUUGACGGGG